CACUUAGGGAGGAGCCUCGGUCCUAUCAGCUAGUUGGCGGGGUAAUGGCCCACCAAGGCUAUGACGGGUAGGGGACGUGAGAGCGUGACCCCCAACGACGGAACUGAGAUUAACGAUAGUCUCCUAAGAGAGUAAUCUCUUAGUAAAAUCUAGCUUAUAACGGUGAAAUCUCUGCGUGUGGAUAAUUUAUAUUCACAAGUUUUGGGGGUUGUACUACAAUACCCAAUAUGGAGACAACGCCGUGGGAAGUUAAUAGCAAAAAUGUUUCUGACCAGUAUAUCGCAGGAUUUUUGGAUGGCGAUGGGUCUAUUGUGGCGGCAAUUGAAAAACGUCCCGAUAGACGGCGCUUUCCUUAUCGCGUGCGAUUAAAGAUAAAUUUUACCCAACAUAUUCGACAUAAAAAUAUGAUGUUUCUUCUUCAGGAAGCAUUGGGUAAAGUCGGAUCUGUCAGAUUUAUUCGAACUCAUAAUCUUGCCGAAUUGGUCAUUCAAAAGCGGCAGGAUGUUAAACAUACUCUUGAACGCUUACUGCCGUACCUGAUUCUUAAACAGAGGCAGGCAAAAAUUAUGCUUGCUAUGAUUGAAAUAUUUGACCACGGAGUGGUCAAAGUUCGCAGUUCUCUUUCGGAUAAAGACUUUGAGAAAUUAUUCUCAAUGGCAAAAGAACUGCGAAAUCUUAAUGCAGGCGCAGGAGGCAAAAAGAACUAUGAGUUCAUUAACCCCGUAACGACUCAUUCCGAGUUUACUCGGAAUGGAUAGCCAGGAUUUAUCUUGGUUAUAACACGCUAGCCCCCUUGUACGAUCAAACGAGGGGUGAAGACAUAGUCUAUACCACAAGUGAUUGUGGACAAAUAUGACGGUCCGUACACCUACGGGUGGCUGCAGUCAAGAACAUUCGACAAUGGGCGAAAGCCUGAUCGAGCGACGCCGCGUGCAGGAUGAAGGCCUUCGGGUCGUAAACUGCUUUUAACUGGGAACAAGUCCGGCCCUUUCGGGAUGGAAUUUUUUGAGUGAAAAUUUUCUUUUUCGAGAGGGCCGGAUUGAGCGUACCAGUGGAAUAAGGAGCUGCAAACUUCGUGCCAGCAGCCGCGGUAAUACGAAGGCUCCAAGCGUUAUCCGGAUUUAUUGGGCGUAAAGGGUCUCCAGGCUGUUUUGUUAGUCCGGCGUUAAAUCUCACCGCUUAACGGGGAGAGUGCGUUGGAUACGGCAAAACUUGAGGCAAGAAGAGGCAUACGGAACUCAUGGUGUAGGGGUGAAAUCCGUUGAUAUCAUGGGGAACACCAAAUGCGAAGGCAGUAUGCUGGUCUUGUCCUGACGCUCAUGAGACGAAAGCGUGGGGAGCGAAUAGGAUUGACACUCGUCCCGGUAUUCAUUUGCUUAAAAAUAAAUGAAGACCGCGGACUCGCUAAGAGAAAAAGGAGAACGAAAGUGAAAUGUUUUAUCAAGAGUUCAAGCAAAGAAGCAAUUCACUCUGAUGUGGUUGAAUUUAUCUAUACACUUGGGAGUAUUCAAGGCAUUUCUGACAAUGGCGAUUUAGUUAUUGUAGAGGUGCUGCGAGAGGAUCUUUCUAAGUUAGAAGAAUAUUGUUCAGCGCAUGGAUUGGAACUUGAGAAAACAUUAGGUUUUUCUUUCUAGCGAACCGCAGGGUAUGCGGUGAGUCUGAUUCUCCGAAGCUCGAAAGAGCGAAGGAGGAAAACUAGUCCCCCCGAUGUGCGAUUCGCAUAACGGGGAUAAAAAACCUAUCCCGAUUUUGUAUGAAUCCGCCAUAGGCGGAGAGUCUACAAAAUCGAGGACCCGCCAAAGCCGUGAGGCGACGGCGGGGCUAUAUUCGGGAAAACCCUACUUUGUGAAAACGAAGGGGCAACCCGCAGGGAAGUCCGAUGCAACAGCGGACCCCUCAGAGACUAUACGCUGGGCCCGAAAUAAAACUCGGCGGCGAGUGAGUUACUCGCUCGCCCAAAUUUUUCUUUCGGUGAUGAUAUAGUCCGAACUCGGCCGUAAUGCCGAGAAACGAGCAGAAAUGUCUCGUUCCGCAAUUUAAAAUUGAAAAUUUAGAAUUUAAAAUUUCAAUUUUGUUGCGAGCAACAAAAUUGUAGAUACCCUAGUAGUCCACGCCCUAAACGAUGCAGACUCGUCAUUGGAAGUAUCGACCCUUUCAGUGGCCAAGCUUACGCGUUAAGUCUGCCGCCUGGGAAGUACGGCCGCAAGGCUAAAACUCAAAGGAAUAGACGGGAGUUCGCACAAGCGGUGGUUCAUGCGG
rnacentral:rRNA from 1 species